rnacentral:rRNA from 1 species
UAGAGUUUGAUCAUGGCUCGGGGUGAACGCUGGCGGCGUGCUUGACACAUGCAAGUCGAACGGUAUGUGGCAACACAUAGAGUGGCGAACGGGUGAGUAACACGUGGGAACGUAUCUUUUGCAGGGGGAUAACUGACCGAAAGGACAGCUAAUACCGCAUAAGUCCGAGAGGAGAAAGGUGCAACAGCAUCGGCAGAAGAGCGGCCCGCGGUCCAUCAGCUAGUUGGUGAGGUAAGGGCUUACCAAGGCGACGACGGAUAGCCGGCGUGAGAGCGUGGCCGGCCACAAGGACACUGAGAUACGGGUCCUACUCCUACGGGAGGCAGCAGUGCGGAAUUUUAGAUAAUGGAGGGAACUCUGAUCUAGCGACGCCGCGUGCAGGAAGAAGGUCUUCGGAUUGUAAACUGCUGUGGUAAGGGAAAAAUGCUAUGUAGAGCGGAAAGCUACAUAGAGGGAUGGUACCUUACUAGAAAGCCCCGGCUAACUACGUGCCAGCAGCCGCGGUAAUACA